GACGAACGCUGGCGGCGUGCUUAACACAUGCAAGUCGAACGAUGAUGCUGGAGCUUGCUCCAGUUGAUUAGUGGCGAACGGGUGAGUAACACGUGAGCAAUCUGCCCUUGACUCUGGGAUAACUGCGGGAAACUGUAGCUAAUACCGGAUACUUUCACCGGGGGGCAUCCUCUGGUGAUGAAAGAAUUUCGGUCAAGGAUGAGCUCGCGGCCUAUCAGCUUGUUGGUGAGGUAACGGCUCACCAAGGCGACGACGGGUAACCGGCCUGAGAGGGUGACCGGUCACACUGGGAAGGAGACACGGCCCAGACUCCUACGGGGGGCAGCAGUGGGGAAUAUUGCACAAUGGGCGCAAGCCUGAUGCAGCAACGCCGCGUGAGGGAUGAAGGCCUUCGGGUUGUAAACCUCUUUUAGCAGGGAAGAAGCGAAAGUGACGGUACCUGCAGAAAAAGCACCGGCUAACUACGUGCCAGCAGCAGCCGCCG
rnacentral:rRNA from 1 species